AUGGCAUUAUUACAGAUGGCAUGCAUGUUCCAAAAUUCACAUGGAGGGUUAUUCUACCGGGAAGAACGUGCAGUUGGGGUGAGCUGGAUAGGGAGCCCAAAUUGGAGCACACUCUGGAGCACCCUGGGUUUGGAGCCCCCCUCGCCCCCACCGCCAAGAAGGAGCUCUUUCAUCCCAAAGGGAGGAGAUGAGGGUGGGAUUGGGCUGGAGAAGGGGUACAGUUGCAGGGAGGAUAUAUUAUCACAUUCUUUUUUUUUUUUAACUUGUAUAUUUAUUUAGCUUCAGCCUGAAUCACGUAGGCUUAUAUGAAGUUAAGCCACUAUUUACUAUAUUGUAUCUAAAGCUUAUUUACCAUCCUUCUUACCUCCCUUCCCUACCCAGCCCCCUUACUCUCAUUCUGUGUAGCUUAAAGCUAAAAAAAUUUUGAAUAAUGGGCUGGAGAUUAUCCUGGAAGAGAAAUUGCUCUUACCAAAUAUCCCUGACAGCUCCCCAGACCAUUAAAUUAAUAGCAAUGAGUGGAGAGAUAAGCAAAACUAAUGGCAUGCUUAAAGCUUUGUGACAGAGGUUUGGAGUCA
rnacentral:lncRNA from 1 species